ACUCAAAGGAAUUGACGGGGACCCGCACAAGCGGUGGAUGAUGUGGUUUAAUUCGAUGCAACGCGAAAAACCUUACCCACCUUUGACAUGGCAGGAAUUCCGAAGAGAUUUGGAAGUGCUCGAAAGAGAACCUGCACACAGGUGCUGCAUGGCUGUCGUCAGCUCGUGUCGUGAGAUGUUGGGUUAAGUCCCGCAACGAGCGCAACCCUUGCCAUUAGUUGCUACGAAAGGGCACUCUAAUGGGACUGCCGGUGACAAACCGGAGGAAGGUGGGGAUGACGUCAAGUCCUCAUGGCCCUUAUAGGUGGGGCUACACACGUCAUACAAUGGCCGGUACAAAGGGUAGCCAACCCGCGAGGGGGAGCCAAUCCCAUAAAGCCGGUCGUAGUCCGGAUCGCAGUCUGCAACUCGACUGCGUGAAGUCGGAAUCGCUAGUAAUCGUGGAUCAGCAUGUCACGGUGAAUACGUUCCCGGGUCUUGUACACACCGCCCGU
rnacentral:rRNA from 1 species